AAAGCGUGCGCAGGCGGUUAUGUAAGACAGAUGUGAAAUCCCCGGGCUCAACCUGGGAACUGCAUUAGUGACUGCAUAGCUGGAGUACGGCAGAGGGGGAUGGAAUUCCGCGUGUAGCAGUGAAAUGCGUAGAUAUGCGGAGGAACACCGAUGGCGAAGGCAAUCCCCUGGACCUGUACUGACGCUCAUGCACGAAAGCGUGGGGAGCAAACAGGAUUAGAUACCCCAGU
rnacentral:rRNA from 1 species